AUUGUACUCCCUCCGUUCUAAAUUACCCGUCGCAGAAAUAGAUGUAUCUAGAACUAAAAUACAUUUAGAUACAUCCAUACCUACGACAAGUAAUUCGAAACGGAGGGAGUAGAAG
rfam:Triticum aestivum genome assembly, contig: Triticum_aestivum_CS42_TGACv1_scaffold_556502_7AL